AUUGAACGCUGGCGGCAGGCCUAACACAUGCAAGUCGAGCGGAGCGGCGGACGGGUGAGUAUUGCCUAGGCAUCUGCCUGGUAGUGGGGGAUAACGUCCGGUAACGGGCGCUAAUACCGCAUCCUAUCAGAUGCGCCUAGGUCGGAUUAGCUAGUUGGUGGGGUAAAGGACUACAACGGCGACGAUCCGUAACGGGUCUGAGAGGAUGAUCAGUCACACUGGAACUGAGACACGGUCCAGACUCCUAAGGGAGGCAGCAGUGGGGAAGAUGGGACAAUGGGCGAAAGCCUGAUCCAGCCAUGACGCGUGUGUGAAGAAGGUCUUCGGAUUGUAAAGCACUUUAAGUUGGGAGGCGUUACCAACAGAAGAAGCACCGGCUAACUUCGUGCCAGCAGCCGCGGUAAUAC
rnacentral:rRNA from 1 species